UACGGAGGGGGCUAGCGUUGUUCGGAAUUACUGGGCGUAAAGCGCGCGUAGGCGGCUUUGUAAGUCAGAGGUGAAAUCCCGGGGCUCAACUCCGGAACUGCCUUUGAAACUGCAUCGCUUGAAUCCGGGAGAGGUGAGUGGAAUUCCGAGUGUAGAGGUGAAAUUCGUAGAUAUUCGGAAGAACACCAGUGGCGAAGGCGGCUCACUGGACCGGUACUGACGCUGAGGUGCGAAAGCGUGGGGAGCAAACAGG
rnacentral:rRNA from 1 species